UUCCGUGUGCACACUGUCAUGACCCUGGAGCAGCAGGACCUGGUGUGUUUCACAGCCCAAACACUGGUGAGGGUUCUCUCUCAUGGAGGAUACCGAAAGAUCUUGGGCCUUGAAGGAGAUGCUAGUUAUCUCACCACUGAGAUGUCUACAUGGGAUGGAGUGAUUGUCAC